UACGUAGGCAGCGAGCGUUGUUCGGAGUUACUGGGCGUAAAGAGUGCGUAGGCGGUUUUCUAAGUUUGGUGUGAAAUCUCCCGGCUCAACUGGGAGGGUGCGCCGAAGACUGGAAGGCUUGAGUAUGGGAGAGGUAAGCGGAAUUCCUGGUGUAGCGGUGAAAUGCGUAGAUAUCAGGAGGAACACCUGCGGUGUAGACGGCUUACUGGACCAUAACUGACGCUGAGGAACGAAAGCCAGGGGAGCGAACGGG
rnacentral:rRNA from 1 species